AGACUUUGAUUCUGGCUCAGAUUGAACGCUAGCGGGAUGCUUUACACAUGCAAGUCGAACGGCAGCGCGGACUUCGGUCUGGCGGCGAGUGGCGAACGGGUGAGUAAUGUAUCGGAACGUGCCCAGUAGCGGGGGAUAACUACGCGAAAGCGUAGCUAAUACCGCAUACGCCCUACGGGGGAAAGGGGGGGAUCUUCGGACCUCUCACUAUUGGAGCGGCCGAUAUCGGAUUAGCUAGUUGGUGGGGUAAAGGCCUACCAAGGCGACGAUCCGUAGCUGGUUUGAGAGGACGACCAGCCACACUGGGACUGAGACACGGCCCAGACUCCUACGGGAGGCAGCAGUGGGGAAUUUUGGACAAUGGGGGCAACCCUGAUCCAGCCAUCCCGCGUGUGCGAUGAAGGCCUUCGGGUUGUAAAGCACUUUUGGCAGGGAAGAAACAGGUCUGGAUAAUACCUGGACUGAAUGACCGUACCUGUAGAAUAAGCACCGGCUAACUAC
rnacentral:rRNA from 1 species